rnacentral:lncRNA from 1 species
UGCUUAUUAAAAGCCUAUUGUUAAAUGUGAAAUCUUCACUCAGUCACAGCAGGAUGGGCUCUGCUGUGGUUAAAAACAAAAAAGCACAACCAAAUCUCAGUGGCUUAACAUAAUUAAAAGCUUAUUUUUUGAUCAUACAAAGCCCACUGUGGAUCCAGCUGACCUACACAGACUCAAGAUCAAAGCCACUUUCAUCUUGUGGCUGCACCAUUUCAGCUGAGGCCUCCUGCACAGUGCUGUGGCAGAGGAAAAGGGUUUGUCAUGAGAUAGUCUGAUAGUGACACACACUACUUCCACCCAUGUUUAACUGGUCAGAACUAGCCAUCGCCUACCUACAAGAGGGCUGGGAAGUGUAGUUUUCUUUAUGCUAGGAAGGAAAG